rnacentral:rRNA from 1 species
UCGCCCUGUUUUUCAAAAACAUGUCUUAUGGUGUAUUUUUAUUAAGUCUAGCCUGCUCAAUGAUUUCUAUUAUAUAGAAUUAAAUGGCCGCAGUAUUUUGACUGUGCGAAGGUAGCAUAAUCAUUUGUCUUUUAAUUGAAGGCUUGUAUGAAUGGUUGGAUGAGGGAAUAACUUUCUUUAUAUUAAAUAUUGAAUUUAAUAUUUCAGUUAAAAAGCUGAGAUUUUUAAGUGGGACGAGAAGACCCUAUAGAAUUUUACUUACAGUUACUUUAAGUGUUGUUAUUGAUAAGAUCAAAUACUUACAUAUAUAUUAAGUUUUGUUGGGGUGACAAUGAGAUUUAUUUAACUCUCAAAAAUUUAUUUUAUUAAUUUAUAUAUUUUAGAUCCUAUUAUACGGAUAAUUAGAUUAAAUUACCUUAGGGAUAACAGCGUAAUUUUUUUGAAGAGUUCUUAUCAAUAAAAAAGUUUGCGACCUCGAUGUUGGAUUAAAAUUAGAUUUAAGUGCAGAAGCUUAAUGUCUAGGUCUGUUCGACCUUUAAAAUUUUACAUGAUUGGUUUUUAACCCGG